rnacentral:rRNA from 1 species
UAGGGAAUCUUCGGCAAUGGGGGCAACCCUGACCGAGCAACGCCGCGUGAGUGAAGAAGGUUUUCGGAUCGUAAAGCUCUGUUGUAAGAGAAGAACUUGUGUGAGAGUGGAAAGUUCACACAGUGACGGUAACUUACCAGAAAGGGACGGCUAACUACGUGCCAGCAGCCGCGGUAAUACGUAGGUCCCGAGCGUUGUCCGGAUUUAUUGGGCGUAAAGCGAGCGCAGUCGGUUUAAUAAGUCUGAAGUUAAAGGCAGUGGCUUAACCAUUGUUCGCUUUGGAAACUGUUAAACUUGAGUGCAGAAGGGGAGAGUGGAAUUCCAUGUGUAGCGGUGAAAUGCGUAGAUAUAUGGAGGAACACCGGUGGCGAAAGCGGCUCUCUGGUCUGUAACUGACGCUGAGGCUCGAAAGCGUGGGGAGCAAACAGG